rnacentral:rRNA from 1 species
AGUGAACGCUGGCGGUAGGCCUAACACAUGCAAGUCGAACGGCAGCACAGUAAGAGCUUGCUCUUACGGGUGGCGAGUGGCGGACGGGUGAGGAAUACAUCGGAAUCUACUUUUUCGUGGGGGAUAACGUAGGGAAACUUACGCUAAUACCGCAUACGACCUACGUGUGAAAGCAGGGGAUCUUCGGACCUUGCGCUAUUGAAUGAGCCGAUGUCGGAUUAGCUAGUUGGCGGGGUAAAGGCCCACCAAGGCGACGAUCCGUAGGUGGUCUGAGAGGAUGAUAAGCCACACUGGAACUGAGACACGGUCCACACUCCUACGGGAGGCAGCAGUGGGGAAUAUUGGACAAUGGGAGCAAGCCUGAUCCAGCCAUACCGCGUGGGUGAAGAAGGCCUUCGGGUUGUAAAGCCCUUUUGUUGGGAAAGAAAAGCAGCAGGUUAAUACCCCGCUGUUCUGACGGUACCCAAAGAAUAAGCACCGGCUAACUUCGUG